UACGGGGGGGGCAAGCGUUGUUCGGAAUUACUGGGCGUAAAGGGCGCGUAGGCGGUCAGACCAAGUCGAGUGUGAAAUUCCAGGGCUUAACUCUGGCACGCUCGCUCGAUACUGGUCGGCUAGAGUGUGGAAGAGGAUGCUGGAAUUCCCGGUGUAGCGGUGAAAUGCGUGGAUAUCGGGAGGAACACCAGUGGCGAAGGCGGGCAUCUGGGCCAACACUGACGCUGAGGCGCGAAAGCUAGGGGAGCAAACAGG
rnacentral:rRNA from 1 species